CAGCUCUUUCUCUGCCUCUUUGGUGGAUAGUGGAGUGUUUCCCAUGUGGUAUUGGUAUGCUGGAUAUCCCUUCACUGGUAGCCUGGUAACAUACACUCCAAGGUCUUUCUCUGCCUCUGUGGUGGAUAGUGGAGUGUUUCCCAUGUGGUAUUGGUGUGCUGGAUAUCCCUUCACUGGUAGCCUGGUAACAUACACUCCCAGGUCUUUCUCUGCCUCUGUGGUGGAUAGUGGAGUAUUUCCCAUGUGGUAUUGGUAUGCUGGAUAUCCCUUCACUGGUAGCCUGGUAACAUACACUCCCAGGUCUUUCUCUGCCUCUGUGGUGGAUAGUGGAGUGUUUCCCAUGUGGUAUUGGUGUGCUGGAUAUCCCUUCACUGGUAGCCUGGUAUCAUACACUCCCAGGUCUUUCUCUGCCUCUGUGGUGGAUAGUGGAGUGUUUCCCAUGUGGUAUUGGUGUGCUGGAUAUCCCUUCACUGGUAGCCUGGUAACAUACACUCCCAGGUCUUUCUCUGCCUCUGUGGUGGAUAGUGGAGUGUUUCCCAUGUGGUAUUGGUGUGCUGGAUAUCCCUUCACUGGUAGCCUGGUAACAUACACUCCCAGGUCUUUCUCUGCCUCUGUGGUGGAUAGUGGAGUGUUUCCCAUGUGGUAUUGGUGUGCUGGAUAUCCCUUCACUGGUAGCCUGGUAACAUACACUCCCAGCUCUUUCUCUGCCUCUGUGGUGGAUAGUGGAGUGUUUCCCAUGUGGUAUUGGUGUGCUGCAUAUCCCUUCACUGGUAGCCUGGUAACAUACACUCCCAGGUCUUUCUCUGCCUCUGUGGUGGAUAGUGGAGUGUUUCCCAUGUGGUAUUGGUAUGCUGGAUAUCCCUUCACUGGUAGCCUGGUAACAUACACUCCCAGGUCUUUCUCUGCCUCUGUGGUGGAUAGUGGAGUGUUUCCCAUGUGGUAUUGGUAUGCUGGAUAUCCCUUCACUGGUAGCCUGGUAUCAUACACUCCCAGGUCUUUCUCUGCCUCUGUGGUGGAUAGUGGAGUGUUUCCCAUGUGGUAUUGGUGUGCUGGAUAUCCCUUCACUGGUAGCCUGGUAACAUACACUCCCAGGUCUUUCUCUGCCUCUGUGGUGGAUAGUGGAGUGUUUCCCAUGUGGUAUUGGUGUGCUGGAUAUCCCUUCACUGGUAGCCUGGUAACAUACACUCCCAGGUCUUUCUCUGCCUCUGUGGUGGAUAGUGGAGUUUCCCAUGUGGUAUUGGUGUGCUGGAUAUCCCUUCACUGGUAGCCUGGUAACAUACACUUCCAGGUCUUUCUCUGCCUCUGUGGUGGAUAGUGGAGUGUUUCCCAUGUGGUAUUGGUAUGCUGGAUAUCCCUUCACUGGUAGCCUGGUAACAUACACUCCCAGGUCUUUCUCUGCCUCUGUGGUGGAUAGUGGAGUGUUUCCCAUGUGGUAUUGGUGUGCUGGAUAUCCCUUCACUGGUAGCCUGGUAACAUACACUUCCAGGUCUUUCUCUGCCUUUGUGGUGGAUAGUGGAGUGUUUCCCAUGUGGUAUUGGUGUGCUGGAUAUCCCUUCACUGGUAGCCUGGUAACAUACACUCCCAGGUCUUUCUCUGCCUCUGUGGUGGAUAGUGGAGUGUUUCCCAUGUGGUAUUGGUGUGCUGGAUAUCCCUUCACUGGUGGCCC